AAGUGUGAAUUCACGUCAUUAAAAUCUGCUGAUGAUUUUCGGUGGAGAAGAAUCAAACCUAUUGGCCUUCAUCUUACAGUGCUCGUGAAGUUUGCUCAGAGACUCAAAAUCCCGUAGGCCACAUGGGGACCAUAAGAUAAGGAACACACAAUCACGUAGGAGAAGUCUGAUUUAAGGGACCCCUGUGACUAAACACUGACAGUAUAACACAGGAACUCUAGCAGAUGUGAGACUAAAACUUAACUCUUCGAGGCAUCUCGUGCAAGAUUUUAAACCACAGCAAGUGACCAGCAUGCAGAUGGCAGUAACAGACCAUUGCCACGUGACUGGGGCUGAUGGAGCUCAAGGAAGAUGCUGGGGACCUUUCGUUUGACUCAUGUUCAUCCUCUGCGCUGUAUGAUGCCAGAAGCUCAGCUUUUCUAGAAGAGAGUAAAGGAUGAGGAGUUAUGCUGACAUUUGGAAAAGGGCUAGGAAGUUGACCUGUGUUCAACAUAUCUGCCAUAAAUGAAUGCUCACCAUGAAGUAGUGCACCCACUGCAAGCAAUGCAGUGAAGUGUUCCAGGGCCAAGAGAGUUCCGUCAUGAAUUUAAGGAAAGGAAUUACUUCAUCCAAAAAGGUCUGGACACCUUGAAACAUUCUGGUAUCUCUAAGGAGGAGAUGAUGCACCUUAGGGCUGCCUUGACCUUGCCUGGGGCUUGAUGAUCCUUGAGGUCCCUUCCAACCCAAGCCAUUCUAUAAUUCUAUAGGGCACUUUCACAUUCAGCAACACCAGUAGGAUGCUUGUUCUCAGACGGAGCAAGUAACCUAUGUAUUGACUUGGAAAUUGAGGUGAGUGUUCCUCCACUUUAAGAAUAGUCAGGAUUAGCAAGUGGUGUGAAGGUAUAAAGUUGUUUGUUUGUUUAAAUGACAGCAUAAGGAAUAUCUACCUGAGCCAUUGUAAUUCAGUGUUUCAUUAGCAUGAGAUGCAAGUCUAUUGAGACUUUACUAUUCCAAGUCCAUAAGAAAAUGGGACAAGGCUCCUAAUUCUUAAUGCAGCAAAACACUUAGAAUGAAGGAGAUUUGAAUCCAGGUUUAAAUCUAAACUAAAUCUUGCUGCUUAAGAGGAUUGAAGUUCAGCGUUUGUUGAGUUGAAGCCCAGAAACAAUAAAGCAAUAAAGCAUCUCUUCAACUUUUUUUUUUAAAUUUAAAUUUUGUUCUUCUAAAAUUCCCUGUUCAAAUCUGUGUAACCACCAUCCACAUUCAUUAUGGGAGAAGUGAUGGUAGUUCAGUAGCCAUAGUGCAUCCUCAGCCCCCUGAAUCACACGCUGAACUGAAAUGCUGAAAUAAGCAACAGUAUGGCUUACCCUUUCCUAACCUCUGACUGUAUCGGAAGGAUGAUAAUAUUGCUUAAACCUAAUGUAUAAGAAAGAAAUGGUUUCAUUGUUAUCUGAUGGAGACCCCAUAACAAUGCCACAGUGACAGAGGCUAUAAUGAGGAACUGUAGGAUUUCAAUGGCAAAAGGGAUUCAUUGCUAGUUCAUGACCUCAUGAAGAAAUCAUUACAAUGCCAUCAGAGAUAUGAAGUCGUUAUGGGAAAACUAUUUCAAAGCAAGUCUAGAAGGACCUGUUUGAAGGUGCUGUUAAGAAGUCAUUACAGUGUAAGGUUAUGAUGGCAAAAUGGUUUCAGUGAAACUCUGUUAUAGUCUAAAAAUAAAUUAAAUGGUGUCAGUGAAAAUUAUUCCCCUUCAAAACCUACAGAAAUUAAACAGACCUCUCUCUAAACCAAAACAAUGGUAAAUUAGAAGUUUGACUGACACUUGAUCAGAAGGAGAGUAUGAGGGCUGUUCCAAAAGUAAUGCCUCCUAUGUUACUAUGUUGGCCCACAAUUUCAGAGACAGAUGUCAGUGAUAUGACAGUAGAAGCUGAACCUUCUGACAGUAUUCCAUUACAUUUUGUUGUUGUGUGAUAGAUGGCAGUAGAGGGGCAGACUGACAAAAUAGCAUCUGACAUGGGAGUGCAUAUGAAGCAAAGGUGCGGAAUUGAAUUCCUGCCUGCAGACACAUAGCACCCAUUGACAUUCACUGACCCUGAGGAGAAGAAUUUGGGAGUGUCAGUUGAUGAAAGACUCAACAUAAGCUGGCAGUGUGCAUUUGUAGCCCAGAAGGCCAACCAUAUCCUGGGUUUCAUCAACAGAAAUGUGACCAGCAGGUUGAGUGGUUCUACUCCUCUACUCUGAUCCUGUGUGACCCCACCUGGAGUAAUGUGUCCAGAUCUGGGGCCCCCAGCACAGGAAGGACAUGGAGUUGUUCGAGCUGGUCCACAGGAGGGCCACAAAGAUGAUCAGAGGGCUGGAACAUCUCCCCUGUGCCGGCAGGCUGAGGAAGCUGGGAUUCUUCAGCCUGGACAAGAGAGGGCUCCAGGGGGGACCUUAUAGCAGCCUUCCAGUACCUGAAGGGGGCCUAUAGGGAAGCUGGGGAAGGACUUUUUAUAAGGAUAUGUAGUGACAGGACAAGGGGAAAUGGUUUUAAACUGGAAGAGGGUAGAUUUGCACUAGAUAUUAGAAAGAAAUUCUUUACUGUGAGUGUGGUGAGACACUGGAACAGGUUGCCCAAUGACACUGUGGAUGCCCCCUUCCUGAAAGCACUCAAGACCGGGCUGGAUGGGGCUUUGAGCAACCUGGUCUAGAGGGAGGUGUCCCUGCAUAUAGCAGGGGGGUUGGAACCAGAUGACCAUAAAGGUCCUUUCCAGCCCGAACCAUUCUGUUAUUCUAUGACCCUUGCUGAAAAUUUAUGGAGACCAGACAGUGGAUGUGAGCACAGUGACGUAGUGGGUGGUGAAUUUCAGCAGUGCUGACAGCAACAGUGGGUCACCUCCACUGGUGCAGAUUUUUACGACUGUAGCAUACAGACUUUUGUUCAUCACUAGCAAAAAUGCAUAGCUAAUGCUGUUGUCUAUGUUGAAAAAUAGUGUUCAGUAGCUGAGAAUUUGCUUUAUCAGAUACUGUUAUUGUGCUCUUUGGAUGUGUUAUCGUUUCCAUUGAAAUAAAUAGGAGGCAUUACUUUUGGAGUGACAUACAGAAUUAUGAAUUCUUAAAGCAAUCAAAUAAAAUUUUGGCUGGAGUUACCCAGCUGGAAAAUAAUGUCACUGAGUUUCUAGGAUCUUAAUUUUGUAAAUUAAAAUGAAAUAUCAUCCUCACAUCAAAGUUUAUAGUAAAUAUCAUUCUUCUGUAUCUUCCUUGUUGUAUUGCAAAUUAGUCUAUGAGCACUUUUUGUUUUUCUUAUUGCAUUUCUGACUUGCAUUUGUUCUGAUAGGGCAUAGAUCUAAAAUAAAUUAAAAUUCCACUGCCACUCCUAGCCUAGAAUUUUGAGUGACAGUUGAGACUGUCUGUCAAACUAAAUAGUCUAUUUCAAAACAGUAAAAAUCUCCCCACCCAAGACUCACUUCUCAUCAGUAAUGUGGUUAGUAUUUAUCUGGUUUAAAAUCCAGCCUGAUCUGAUCAUCUACUCUAUCAUUGGUGCUGGAUGGGAAUAAAAUGUACAUUUAGGAGUUGUUUUGGAUGAUUGUACCCCACUACCGAAUAAUUAGAAUAAUAUUUUCACUAAAAGGAAUGUAUUCCUGAAGUACCUCUGAGAUACCAAAAAAAAAUCCAAAUUUUCUUCUUGUGUUUUUUUAUUUUCAGUGAAUAGCUGCCUAUCUGCUGUCCAAAAGCUCAGCUAGAUCUGGUGCAAUACCGUAGACUUUAACUUGGGGCUGCAUGAAUAUUGUGUCAUUUGGGUGCUCACUGCAACUUGGAAGAGAAGAGGAUAUCCAGCACCAUGAGGACAGAAAGUUUCCUAAGGCCAAGAAAACCUUAUUGAAAUGAAAGAUUUCAGCAAAAUAUUCCAGAUUUGACAACUUGGUAACGUCCCUUUCAAAUGAACAUGGAAGAACAUGCAGAUGAAGUCAAAUCUCCGUUGACUGGUUUGUGACCAAUGGGACAGACUUUCCAGGAAUCCUUUCACCUGCCAGCUGCAGGAACUAUUUCCCACGUGAUACUGAAAUUCAUACAGUAAGAUGAGUGCCUGUUCUUUGCUUGAAAGUCAGAACAUUGUAAUUGUUUUGAAGAUUAAUUUGUUCCAUUCCAAUCAUCAUUACUUUCCUAUCUAUUUCUUUGUUGAUUAUUUAGUGGAAUAUUUUCUUGAUACUCAGUCUGACCACUGCAGUUUGAUUAAUGUUUUUACGAAAAGUAGGAUAAAUAUAAGUAGAGAUUUCUUUAAAAGGAAUACGGUUGAGUAGAGUGGAGAGAGAAAGAUUUUAUAUAGUGCAAGAAAUUGAUAACAAAAUUGACUACAGGAAAUACUGAUCUCUCUACGUUGUGGGUCAGUUCUUAAAACAUUUGGUGCAAUUUAUUGCAGUUUAUAGCAAUUGCUGUUCUCAUGCUAAGCAUCAUUGGCAUAGGUGAUUAUCUGAUGGAACUUCAGAGUUUCUGGAUUUCCAAAGUCUUGACUCUAGUAUUUUUUUUCAUAAUUAUUGUUUCAAAGAAACAGCUUCAAGGAGCAGGGUCUCUCUGUCUCUAUCUAAAAGAUGGCCUGGGUAUGCUUUCCUUUGUGUCCUGUAUUCCCACUAGAUUCGUUGAUCUUUCCUUGGUUGACCACAGAGAUCUUCUAGUUCCAACAUGUGAGUUUCUAUACGGACCUACAGAGGGAUGGGGAACAUCCCCACCCUAUCCUGCCAUACAUGGUCAGGAUAAAGAACUGUAUUAACAGUUAGUAGGCAUGUUGAGUUACAGCAGUUGAAGACAUACUUUAGCCAUAUAUGUAGAAAGUUUAAAGCAUCACACAUUCUCUUCUCACUAUAGCUUUGCUUUAAUGUUAACAAAUGCAUCAUUUAAUUGAUAAUAGCUGGUGUUCAAAGCUACCAUUCAGGGCUUAUCUGCACUUUAUUAUUACUGUUUUUUUCUGUUUUCACUCCUCAAGUAGCAACUGCCAGGUGGAAAUGUAAAAGUAAAUAAAAUAAUAGAUUGUACCUGCAAAUACAUGUGGAGCAUGUUUACAAAUAUGGAAAUGACUGCUGGACUGCUGGCAGUUGGUUAAUGAAAAGUCAAACUCUUUGGUAAACACAAGUAUUUACCAUUUUGAAAAAGCAUUGUAAGUUUGGAGGAAGGAGCACCUUUGUGUUAGUAUUAUCUGUAGCUUUUGGGAAGAAAAAUAAGAUACACAGUGUUGUUUACAUUUUGUUUCAGUCACACAGUGAUCAGACAUGAGUCAAACCCUUUUAAACAUAUUUUCCUGACUACAAUGUACUGUUUCAAAGGGUUGAAGAUAUUAAAUAUAUCUUAUAUAUAUAUAUAUAUAUAAUAUAUAUAUUAAAGAUAUUUCAUGAAGUUCUUAUUUCAUGGCACAGUUACAAGUAGAUAUUUCCUUCUUCAUUUUCAUAAUGUCCUUCCUCUUCUCACUGAAUUAAAAUGGUGCCCUCUAGAAAAACAGGGAAGAAAAUAUCUUGCUGUAGAAAUGGGCUAUGCACAAGCACUUAGACAAAAUCUGUCACAUAGAAAAUACAGGAUCCACAGCAACAAAUCAUGUCCAGAAGAAAUUGGUAUAAAUAAAAUAGAUAAAUUUAUUUAUAAAAUUAGGGAAUAGGGAAGAUAAAAUUAGGGAAACAUUUGCAAGGGUAGCCUACCAGAGACAAGGAGGUGUAAAUGAAUAGAGUUCUUUUAAACUUUUCCCUAGUAGUGCUAUUAUUGUUAUUACUAUUACUAUGACUACUAGUACUAAUACUACUAUUACUACUACUACUACUAAGUUCUAUCCUGGAGUGCUUAUGCCUUGAAGUAUAACAGUUCUAUCCUGGAGUGCUUAUGCCUUGAAGUAUAAUAACUCUUCAGAAAAAGAUAGAGAACAAUCUAGAUUUUAGCAAUACUUUCAUGUAGUUUUAAAGUUGUUGCUUAUGUUCGUAGUGGCAGAAAUCUGCAGACUCUGAGGGAAAGUGUCAGCAAGAGUUUGCGAGAACAUAGGUAUAUGUCUGGGUAGUAUGGAAUGUGAAGUCAUGCAAUAGGUUUUCAGAACUGUCACUGCCCAGAAGAUCCACAUGCAUGUGUACUAGGGGCUGAAAUCUAUUGCAUCAACAAGGGCAAAAUUACAAAGAACCAUAACAAAAAGUUUUAGAUAGUAGUUUUUUUAAUAGAAAGAAAUUAUGUAGGUAUUUAUAUGAGGAAAAGCUGCUAAUGUUCUGCUUGGGCUGACAGGGAUAAUAAGGGUGGUAACAGUUCUAAGCACCAUUCAUAGAUUGGGGUUGAGUCUCGCUAGGAAGUGAAGGAGUAAUGUAACUUGGGCAGACCCAUAGGAAAGAAGAACAAAAAUCUUAACAGAGACAGGGAACCAGAGAGAAGGGAAUGUACACGAACAAAGCAAAAACUCCAGGUUAAAACAGCUAGGUGUCGGAAUUAGCAGUAUCCAUGAGAGUGAGAAGUAUCUAUGGGAAAAUGUGAAAGAAGAUGAAGGGCAAAAGAGGGAACAGAAUGCAGAAGUGGGCUGUGAAUCAGCAGCACAGAAUGACCAGAGCAAUAUGUGAGAAGGGAUAAAAUAGUAGAAAUUAGUGGUUUGAUGUAAGGAACACUUUCAGCAGAAUGGGGCCAAUGGACUAGAAGAUGCUUAUAAUGGCUAAAUCAUAGGUUUUGCAGAGUACUAUUACAGCAUUUUGACAGUGCUCAAUACAGACAAAACUGAACUUUCUUUGCUUUCUAAAUUGCAGGUAAUGCCAUUAAUUAAAAGUCUUUUUUUAUAGAAAGGGGCUAAGAUGCUUAUAUGUUCCUUUCAAACAACCAUCUUCUCCCAAAUCUGAAUCUCUUUCUCUGUAAUUUUAGCCUGAAAUGAUAAAGAUUUGAAUAUUUAUUUAUUUAUGAAAACAUAUCUGUGAUUUUUAUCUUGUCUGUUCACCUUGUUUUCUGUAUCUUAUUAUUUCUGUAUAACUUUUGACGCUGUUAUUCUUCCAUCAAGUGCAAAUGCACUUCAUCCUCAGAAGAACUGUAGAUUAGACAAAUAAUUUUCUCUAUGAAAAAGCAGAAUUGAAGAUGCAAAAUUAAGUUUCGUUAAAAGUUCAUGUACAGAGUGAGUUCUUGAUUUCUAAACACUGAAAGUGGAUAUUUCAUAUGGAAUUCAGCGAAUAGUUUCUCUUCAGUUCUUUUAAGCAUAUAAUGAUUCUUGUGUUGCAUAAGUGUUGGAAUUAUUGGCUCCCCUGCCAUGCCUUAGCUGAUGUCCUGUGGUUCACCUGGCUUGAUUCAUGCUAGCAAUCUCCAAAUCCAACAACAGUGCCCAAGUUUCAAGCAAAACAGGUAAUAUUUUUUUUCUAGUUAGCGCACUUUGCUUGUCUAUUAUGGGGAAAAAAAAAACAAAAACAAACAAACAAAAAACCUAAACCAUAAUGAAAAAGAAAAACAGUUCUGUACACUGCUAGGCUAGAAAUACUAUGAGAAGCUGUUGAUGUAUGGGGCAAGAACUGUCAAAUCAGAAGGCACAUCCCCUUAGUGAGUCAUGGAGAUUUGUUGAUUAAAAAAACAUUUAAGUACAUGUUAAUGAAAUGUUUUGUUUCACUGUGAGCCUUUUAUUAUACCAAACCACUAGAAGUUUUCUGCACUUUUCUGAAGUCCUGCAGUAAAAUAUGAAGUGUUGGGAGCAACUUCUUGAAGAUGCAUUCUCUACUUAACCCAGUUCUGCUUGAGAAUCUAAAAAAGAAUCUAAUCUGUAUGAAUGUUAUCUGAGAGAAGUGAAAAAAAAACCAACCACAUUCCUCUUUCAAACUGUUUUGAUGUACUUCUAUCACAUCAUUCCUUCCUCAUCUCUCUUACAAGCUGAAGUAUCUUAUUUAAAAUGUCCUCAGAUGAAGGAAUUCCUAUUGGUAAUCUUUCUAUUACCCUACACUCUUCCUUUACAGGUUCCAUCAUACCUUUUUGGCGAUGAAAAGUACUGGAUGUAGUGUUCUAAAUGUCUGCCCACCAUGCAUUUAACACGGAAAGUGACCCAGAGCAGAGGGAUAAAAUAACCUUUGUAUCCUCUUGUACCUGAACAGCAUGAGCUGGUCUGGGGAACGGUCAGCUCUGCCCUUCAGACUUCAAUUGCAUCCGGCCAUGUAUGCUAUGCAGGUUUCUUGUUCACUGGGUGAUCUUGAAGUGGCCUUGCUAAAAGCUCUCUCUGCCAUUUCCAAAGGAGAUAAAUCUACCUAGAGCCCUGGGAAGCAGAAUUGCUCUUCUUUUUGAAGUGAAGGACCAGUGGUGAACUGGCAAUGAUCAUGACAGUGCCCCUCAUUACUCCAGCCCUCAGCACAUGAUCCCAGGCGACAUGCACUCUAUGCUCUGCUGAGGAAGAUCACAGCGAUCUUGAUAUGAUGGCACAGGACAAGAAUACAUAGACUUGGCUGGAUCAAAAGCAAUGUGCUGAGACUCUACAUCAUCUUGGUGCUUCAGGAGACUAAUUUCUGGACUAAACAGUCUUUGAAAUGAUUCCACAUCACGAGCUUCCGUCCCCACCUUAGUCAAGUCCUGUGAUCACCAAGGCAGACAAAGACAAGCACAGAAAACUGAGGACAAAUCAGGAGCUUCACAGACUGUUUUUAAUUGGGAGGAAACAAAAGAAAAAAUAUCACAAUUUGUACAAGAUGGUGAGAUGGACUCAUUUUAUGAGUAAUAAAAUAAACUUUGGUUCUCAUUUAUUCUAAUUGUCCUGAAAGAUCUUCUAGAGGCAAACAUGAGAGACACAAGACAAAUUACAAAAUUUUCAUCCCUAUCACACAAUUUGUCAUGUUACAGAUAUCAGCAAAGAACUAACUUGACUCUGCCUUUAACGCAGGUCAUCUUCUAGAAGUCAUCUUAUUAUGCUACAGUUUUUAAGUUGGGCUGCCCAAAUAGUCUCAAUAUUUUACUGGUAUUGAAGGAAAAAAAUCUCAUGCUAAAUAUAGUGGAAACAAAGCAAAGAAAUAGAGAAUAAUAAUAAAAAAAAUACCACCAGUCCCAAAGAGUCACUGAUUUUAUACUGAUUGCAUCUAGACUGACUUUUAAUGGUCUGAGUCCAGGAUUCCAUUAGUGUUUAAUAAAUGAUGGUAAUGAUAUCCUACCUAAACAAUGCACACAGAGCUCCCAUUGACUUCAACAUGAGUUCUCGGUGCAGACUGAUGGCAGGAUAUUCCUGUGACAGAGAUGAAUUUUCCAUUAGAACAAAAUGAGGAAGACCUGUCUCAGUCAGCAGAAUUCACAGCAACAAGAAAUAUUCCUUGGGGGCUCAGUGAAAGAUGGCCAUCCUGAGUGGUGGAAAGUAAAUUGGGUGGGAAACUGUGAGGCAUACUUGGACAGUUGUAAAACCAAUUAAAACCAUCAUGCAGUUAUAUUGAUGUUUAAUUUGUAUCAUCUGGAAACCACAACUUCCUUUCUCAUCACACCAUGGGGGAAAUUGCUGUUCUUUUUUAUAUGAAGGCAAAGAGUGCAUUUAAUAUUGGGAUAGAAGAGAGAGUGUGUACGUCUAGUACUAUGUCUUGAUUACCAACUUUCACUCAGAAUAGGGAAAGGAAAAAUGAAAUGCUGUUAGUUAUAAACAAUGGAGAACCAUUACCCAUACAGAAAUUUGGGCAACGACACAAAGAAUUCAGCUGAACGUUUUCCUU
ensembl:lncRNA